rnacentral:rRNA from 1 species
AUUGAACGCUGGCGGCAGGCUUAACACAUGCAAGUCGAGCGGGGUGAUGGUGCUUGCACUAUCACUUAGCGGCGGACGGGUGAGUAAUGCUUAGGAAUCUGCCUAUUAGUGGGGGACAACAUCUCGAAAGGGAUGCUAAUACCGCAUACGUCCUACGAGAGACAGCAGGGGAUCACUUGUGACCUUGCGCUAAUAGAUGAGCCUAAGUCGGAUUCGCUAGUUGGUGGGGUAAAGGCCUGCCAAGGCGACGAUCUGUAGCGGGUCUGAGAGGAUGAUCCGCCACACUGGAACUGAGACACGGUCCAGACUCCUACGGGAGGCAGCAGUGGGGAAUUUUGGACAAUGGGGGCAACCCUGAUCCAGCCAUGCCGCGUGAGUGAAGAAGGCCUUCGGGUUGUAAAGCUCUUUCGGCCGGGAAGAAAUCGCACGGGCUAAUACCCUGUGUGGAUGACGGUACCGGAAUAAGAAGCACCGGCUAACUACGUGCCAGCCGCCGCCGUAA